rnacentral:lncRNA from 1 species
UGUAAUUUGUGGGUUUUAAAGUUAGAAGUUACUAGAAAAGAGUAGAAUGGGAGUUUGGAUAUGUAAAAGGUCAAAAGUUGUGAGUGGGAUUUUAAUUGUGUUGUUAGUGGGGUUUUAAGGCCAUAAUGAAGACUUUUCUAGAAGAGCUUCCUAAAGCCUAUAAAUAGGAUGCUCUCUCAAUUGUAAGAUACACCACAGAAAGAAAUACAAUAGAGAGAAUUGCAAAGAAGAGUGUUUCUUUUAGAGAGAAUUUAAGUGUGAGUGAGUGUCUAUUUUUUACAACUUCCAUAUAUGAGGAGGGUGCUGCCUCCACUGUUACCAAUCACUUCAAUGGACUUUAAUUAACUACUUCAUCAUCACUCGGCUUCUGUUUGGAUGAGGAUAGAAGUAGCAAGAGAAAUAAAAGAGAAGAAGAAAGAUGAAGAGUUAACUUGUUUGAAUUUAGAGAUUGAUACGAGUUAACUGUAACUAAAUUUAUGUAAUAUUAUUUUAGUUAUCCAAAUAUCUUUGAGAUUAUGAAUUAUUUUUCCAAGUGAAGUGUGAAGUGCUGUGGGAUCUAAGCUAGCCUCUUGUGAAUGUUUUUUAUUUUUGCUUUGCCUAUCCUUAGAUUUCCAAGGAAGGUUUGGAGGUAGGAUUCUUCUAGAGCUGUUACAGUAUUGUUUAAACGUACUGGGAUCUGUUCUUCGACUUGGAAGCCUUGGUUCAUCUGUUAGAAGCUUUUAAAUGUGUGGCCUUCUUAUUAUCAUAAGAGAGGACGUUCUUGGUUCUGUAAACGGGUAAACGCGUAAAUGGGAAAACUAGUUGAGAUACACUAUCUCUUUAUUUAUUAUCAUUAUUUUAAAAUUUUAUUUUAAAUAUUAUUGUUAUUUUAAUAUUUAUAUUAUUAAUAUAGUUAAUUUUUUUUUAAUAUAUAAACUUUUUUACAGUUUUAGUUAUUUUUUUUUAUGUUUUAUUAUAUGUGCAUGGGAUAGUUAAAAAAAUAGAUACAAAAUUACAUUCAUAGCAGAUUUUAUAAAAAAAAUGGGUGCACCAUGAUGACGUAAUGAGGCACAUUACUUAAUUGCAGAUAGUGGCUUUUCCUCUUGUCUCACUUGUUUCUCUGCACUUGAGAGAAGAAGCCUGCACCUUCAUUUCAGUCUGCCUACCCACCCCAACAUUUCCUUUACUUUAGCAGACUGCCGACCUAUUUCACGUGGGUUGGUGGUCCUGUUGGCUCACAAUGAGAACAGUCCCCUCAAUAUAUUCUGUCUUUCCUCAGGUUCCGGUUCUAUUCCUCUAGCUCUUCUCUGUCUCAACUUUUUGGCUUCUUUCAACCGCCUUCAAAACCACCUAAACGUUUUUCAUGGCUCAUGUUCUAAGGCAAAUAUUUUAUUAUAUUAUUAAUAAAAUAAAUAAAUAAAAUUAUUUAUAAAAUUUUAAUUAACUUAAAUAUACAUAAAAAUUUCUCAUAUUUUAUUAUUUAAUAUUUUUAGAAAUAAAAAUAAAUUUGUAAUUAUAUUUCGCACUUUUUAAAAAAAAUAAAAAAUUCUCUCAAAACAUUCUAUCACGUUAAAUCCCUUUUAACCAGCAAAAUCUAAACAGUCUUUCUUCAUUACUUAUUCUUAAAUUCUCAAACAUUCACUAUCACAAAUGUUAGAAAAAUACAUUCCAUUUUCUAUCGAAACACAUUAUGUGAGAAAUGAUAAGGUAAGGGAACUUUCGUGGAUGUCUCAGCAUAGCUAAACUUUGAAUAGAAAAAGAUUUCUUUAACACAAAGACCCACCAGACGCAGUAAAGACCCACCAGACGCAGUGAUAUUAAAUGACCCAAGGCUGUUUAUAAAAAUCCUCAUGCAUACCCUUGUCUCACUCUUUAAUCUCUCCUUCUUUUAGCUGUCGUCAAAAUCAGGUUUCAACUUCUUCAUGGCUGAUGGUGCUUUUGGAAUGAGAGGUAAUGAACUGAUUUUUAACAUAGGCAAUAUCCAAAUAUGUAACAUGGCAAUAGAAACUAACCCUGUUGAUGGCCUUGUUGCCUUCAUCUUCUUUGUACUUCUCGCUUUCCUCCAACUCAGAUAUCCAGAAAAUUCCACCCCAUUUCACCUUCAUCCAAACACCAUUUGGCUUUCCAUUCUUAGCUUUCUUCUUUAUUGCUUCUUCACCUUCUCUGGUAACCUCAACUUUGGUAUCA